UAUGGGGGUGGAAUUAAACGAAAAAACUUCAAAGAUCCUAGACAAAAGAAGAUGGAUGAACUUCAAGCCAAACUUCAUAAUAAGGAUGAAGAAAAUCGCAUCCUCAAGAGGCACAUCGCAAAGAUUGAAGAGAGAUUGCUAAGGAUUGAACAUUUUAUGCAACAAAACCCAAAUGUGUCCACUGAAUUUCCCUUAUCAGAACUUGAUCAGGAACUUCAUAAGAAUGAUGUUUAAAAGCUAGACAACAUGAAAGCAUUUUGGCAACUUUUUUGUUGGAUAGGAGAGUAAAAUCUUUAUCUUUAGAAGGAUGCUCACUACUAACAACAAAAGGUUUGGAAAUUUUGUGUAACCUUCGGCACCUGCAUGUGAUUCUUCCUUGUAACAACUUUGAGUAAAAUUAUGUGUAACAAAUUCAAAAUUUGAGUAAAAUUUGCUUGUAACAACUUUUUAAUUUCGGUUAUAAAAAGAGAUUAUUAUAA